CAACCCUCAGCUAACCUGCUGGUCUUGAGCCGGAGCAGGUUAAACCCUGCGCCGGUUUUAAAGUUGUAAGCUCUGCUGGCUGCUCUGCCAAACCAGAACAUAGUAAAACACUACUUGUUGAGGUGAAGCUAAGCGGUACGGCCUGAACAAAACCUACCCAUUUUCAAG
rnacentral:misc_RNA from 1 species